CUUUAUCUUCUCUCAUCUUUCAUUAAAAAAAAAAAUUAAAAAAAAAAAAAAACUACAAAUUUUUUGGAUCUAUGUAGUAUGGUUAAUUUCCUUUAUAUUGCAUCUUAUUUUAUUUUUUUGAGCUAUUUUUUUCUAUAUUUAUUUGCUAGUGAUCUUGAAAUAUAUGUUUCUAUGAAUUUUGUUUUUGUUUUUAUUUUGAUUCUAUGUUUUUUUUUCUUAAAUCAAUUUCUUAGUUAUUUUAUUUUUUUUUAGCUAGAUUUCUCUUUAUUUGCUAGUGAUUUUGAUAAUUAUUAUCUUUUUAGAUAUAUUUUUCUAUAUUUAUUUGUUAGUGAUCUUGAAGAUAUAUGCUUCUAUGAGUUUUUGUUUUUAUUUUUAUUUUAUGUUUUUAUUUAAUCAAUUUCUUAGUGUAUUGAUUUAGCUUGCUUCUUCAAUAGAAAGAUUGUGGUCAAGUUAUAUAUGAUGGAAUUUUUGAACAAUUCCAAUCUACAUAUAAGUUUUUAAAUUUUAUUUUUUGUUUUGAAGUCUUAAAUAGUGUAGAUUCUUCUUAAUUUAGAUCUUUACUUUUGUAGCUAAGAAUAUGUAUAUAUGUACUUGGAUUUUGUACCCUAUAAAUAUAUAUCCUAUGUGAAACAUUUAUUUAGGGUUUGUGGUUCAUUUUGUAGACAUCCAAUAAAAUUGAAACGGUAUAGAGAAAAUAGGGUUUCUGAAUUUGAAUCAGGCUUAUCGAUCUAUCGAACAAUUAACAACAGUUGUUGUUUGCAGAUGUAGCAUCAUCAAGAUUCAUACAUGAAAAUUAAGAGGCAAGGUUAUAUAUGUAGCUUUAAUUGAAAUGAAAAAUAAAAUAUAUCAUGACCAUGUCUAUUUAUUUUAAAGUGAGAAUCUUGAUGAUGCUGCAUCAGCAAUAAAUAACUAUCAGUGACAGAGUUAGGAUUUUUAAGGAUUUCUAAUAUCCAAUAGGGUUUUGUAUAUAAAGGGGUUCAGAUGAAUAUCUUCUGCCUCCGCUCUAAACUAAUUAUGAGCUGUGGAGGCAGAAUUUUGAAAAAAUCAACAUCUAUUAUAUAUAGAUAUAACGAUAUUUUCUUGACUUUUCCAUAUCAUCCUCUUUGAUUUUUUUGGUGAAAUGAACCCCUUUCGUCCCUCUAGCUUCGCCCCGUCACUCUCUAAGCAAAAGUAAAUAGUACGGAUGCUCAGUUCAUUUGUACCUGGAGAUAGAUGAUUAAAUGGAUUUAAUUUUCCUUUAUUUUAUUUUACUGUAUUUUUCAGUACUUUAUAGUAAAUAUUCUUGUCAGUUAUAUAUCUAUUUAUAUAUGUAACAAUUUUAAUUUUUUUAAAAAAAAUUCUAACAGGUGAAAAUUAGAUUCUUUGUUUAUUUUGAGACUGCAGAUCUGUGGCCACUGAAGUUCUGAUAGAUCAGAAGUUGUAAUUUCUCUAUCUUACACAGAUUUGGUACGAAAAAUAUAUUUACACAAUCAAAUCGUUUAUUAUAAGGUUGGAUUUUGCCUCUAAGAGUUUUUAUCAACCAUAAGAAGCGGAGUUUUGGAGGAACGGAAAAAAUUAUCUCAAUUUACAGGUUAUGAGUCUGAGCUGUGAAAUUAGCAACAAGUAUUUAGGUCAUAGUAGGAUCAAUGCCUAUAUUAUACUCUCACGCUCUUUCCGAACUCUGUAUAUAUAAAUACAAAAUGAUUUGUGCAUUGGAUUGCUAUUUUGUGAAUGUAUGAAUGAAUAAGAGCAAAUGUAACACAUGAUCCACACAACUUGCUAUAAAAUGACCUAGCAAGUUACUAUA